CGAUUCUGACAUCACGUAAUUGACUUGCAGACAGCGAUGCGGACUUCGGGGAACUCGGAGACAAUUAGCUCAUCCUCGUGGGCAGGCAACGUCUUGUGCCAGCCAGCGUAGUCCCGCAACGAGCCCACCCAUAAGGUUCAUGAGCAUCAUCGUCAUCCCCCCCUUCAGCCGGUUUCUCUCCGGCAGUGCCAAUAGAGGGCCAACUAAAUGUAGUAUCUAAUUUUAAGGUCAGGGUUAGUUGCGGGACUCACCCAACAUCUAAAGACCAGAGAGGACGACAGACAAGCAGCAUCUGGGUUAGGCAUCUCUUUUGAGCACAAUAGUGUCUAAGCGAUCUUCAGGACAUUCAAAGGUGGGUAAUGUUGGAUGCGUUACCCCCCGGCCCAUACGUUCC
rnacentral:rRNA from 1 species